rnacentral:lncRNA from 1 species
GAGAUUCGUUUAUAUCAUAUCAAGACGCGGUAUCUACACGGAAAAAUUCUAAUUUUUCUUCUUACAAAGGUUCAUAAAAAUUCGUUCAACAUUAUAACAUUAUUUGACUUAAAACAUGUGGAGAUAAUUUCAAGUUGAUCGUUACUUUCUUGAUAUAUUAUCUUUGGAUUUUCCUAUAUAUAAUUUCACCAUUAUUCUCUUGAUAUAUACACACAUAAAAAAAAAAAUAAUAAUAACAUACAAAAUGGAGAGAGAAAAAGAAUGACCUUGAAUAGGGCCAACCAAAAAGCGAGGAAUGCCAACAUUAAGACUACGCUGGCCUGACUUAUCCAGAAAACGAAUUAGCUCACCAUUCUUUACAACAUGAGAACUUUUCUCAUGGUGUUUGAUUGCGAGGAAAAACAUGUUUCGGUGUGGCCAUCCACCCAAGAGGCAAAAUCACUCACAGAGAGUUACUACUCUUUGACCGAAAAUGAAAGGAACAAGAGGGCUGUUGAUCCAGCCUCAUUCAUCCAGGCCAAUAUCCAAAAGAUUGAGUAGAAAAUAGCCAAUACUAUGUAGGCUAUCAAAGAGUUGGAGAGGGAUCAUCUCUUGUCGGAACUCAAUCGUGGUCUUCAAGGUUUAUAAGUUUUAUAAAGAAUUCCAAAAAAUGGUUGAGAUUAAGUCUUUGGGAAACAAUGCGUUUGUUAUGGCUAUUGAUACUUGAUUCUCGGUUUCGGCACGUGAAUUUAAAAAAUGUCUUGAAAACUCUAUUUAAUUCACCAAUGUAAUGACAUAUGAUGGUAUUCAAGGUAGACAAUGUUAAUGGAAGUAGUAUUGAGACAAUGUCUGAGUUUUCUAAGGGUUGUUUCCAAAUAUUUAUUCCUAAUUUUCUCUUAAUCUUGUUUAGGUCAUAUCUACUUUCUUUGUAAUCCUAAAUAAAAAUUAAAAACCCCUCUAUAAUUUCUCUUCACUUUUUUUUAGACAAAGCGUAUAAUCAUGAAGAUGUAUAAUAUCAAGCACGAGUACUUCUAUUUGGUGACCAUACCUGUACCGGGGACCUUUUUGAAACGAGAACUCUAUAGGGAUUAUAUGGGGCCGUUCUUGGAGGAAAAUAACUUCGAAAUUUUGAUAGUUUCACUAAAUUCAUUUCAUUCCUAGCACUCUUAUGAUAAGCAUAUAUAUUUUUUUGGUUUUCUACUUUUUAAAGGAUUUCCCCUCUUUACUUUUUUCUAUUAUUUUUUCUAAUCACUUUUCACUCUAGAUUUAUUUUUAAUUUUUUUAUUGAGUUACCCAUGCCGUAGCCAUAUCUAUUAAUUUUGAUCUUGCCAUUUUCUGUACCCGUUUCCGUACUCUUUUCUAGUUCUCGUACUCAGUUUAGUGCUACUUGAAACUCUUCAGUUGACAAUGAAAUGACUAUGCAGGGUCAUCAUCAGUUGGGUUUGUGUCCUUAUUGAUUGGUGAUGGGUGUAAGCUAAGUGUCAUGGCCACAUCAUUCACAUUUUUGGGCAUUCUUUAGGAUGUGCUAUCGCCUCGUUACUGGGAAUUUGAAUAUUUUUCUAUUAAUAAAAGGUUGUAUACUUUCAUGGAACUUAACUUUCAUUUCUGAUUAUUUUCCUCUCUUUUUUUUUCAUGGUAGCUUCGUUGCAGAUUUCAUAAGCGAUAUGUAUAUGUUAUAUACCACUAGCGAGUUAAAAAAUAAAUACCUAAAACACAUGAUUAAUCUACUACAAUAAUGUUUUAGCGUUUUAUAUUUAUUUUAGAAAAUCGAAAGCAUGUUCAGUAUUUAUCCUCUAUAUUGUCAUUCAGUUAUUUCAUCAUUCCAUUAAACAUACCACUUGGGCCUUAUGUAAAUUUAGUCAAUUUUAGUAUCAGAAAAAUCUACUCAUCUUUUGUUUUCGAAAGAGGAAAAAAAAAAUCUAGUUAAUUCAUAACAAAUUUUCCAUACAAAGUGUGAAAAAUGAUAAUCAUGAAUGCUAUUAAUGGUAAAAAAUCCAAUGGAAUAAGAAAUGAAUAAAAUGUAUUUGCUAAUAUAUUCAAGAAAGUUGGAAGUUUAUCAAACGUUCCCAUUAUUAAUUGACUUGAUAAAAACAAACUAACAAAGCCCUCAAGGUCUUAUCUCUAAGAGAUGUCUCGUUGACACUCAUGGGAUCAAAAUCCAUCUCAAUCCUAAAAGACAUAACUUUUUUACCACCUUAUGAAAGAAAUUUAUUAGGCUUGGUUUUGCAUAGGUUAUCAAGUUCACAACCACAGUUGAUUUCUUACAUGAGAUGAUCUAUCUCCAAUUCCUUGAUAGCCUUCAGAGUAUCGGCUAUUUUCCUAUCAAUCUUUUUGAUACUUGUGAGGCUAUUAAGGAGUUGGAGAUGAGCCGUCUGAUGUUGAACUCAACCGUGGUCAUGUACGUGCUAACCUUUGCGUAACCGAGAUUGAAAAAUUGCUAUCAUAUACUGCUAAGAAAGUUAUGUCUUUCAAGAAUGAGAUGGAUCUUGAUUCUAUAAAUGUUGACGAGGCAUAUCUUCGAGAUGCAGCCUUGAGGGCUUCCAAUGUUCCAUCUCCUGGGUGGCGGCGGAAUAGUUCUAACGUGAUUAAAACUGCAACGGUCUAUUAUUAUGAUAAUUGGGGGGUCUCUCAUGAGAUUUGUUUAUAUCAUAUCAAGACGCGGUAUCUACACGGAAAAAUACUAAUUUUUCUUCUUACAAAGGUUCAUAAAAAUUCGUUCAACAUUAUAACAUUAUUUGACUUAAAACAUGUGGAGAUAAUUUCAAGUUGAUCGUUACUUUCUUGAUAUAUUAUCUUUGGAUUUUCCUAUAUAUAAUUUCACCAUUAUUCUCUUGGUAUAUACACACAUAAAAAAAAAAAUAAUAACAUACAAAAU